CUGUGGAGAUGUGGCACUGAGGGAUAUGGUGUAGGUCAGUAUUGGUGGUAGGUGGCUGGUUGGACUAGAUGAUCUUAAAGGUCUUUUCCAACCAUAAUGAUUCUUUGGUUCUGUGAAGCUGUCCUGGUUGUCAGUGUUUUUGACCCAUAGUAAUGCAAAGCCACUGCUUCUGAAUUCUUAUCCCACACUGCACAGUUUGUGUAGAAUGGAUUGGACCACCCCAAAUCCUUCACCUUCCUUUUGCCUGCAGCUUAAUCCUGCCCCCUUCAUCCUGCAUCCUUCACUCUUUAUCCCCGAUUCUUCAUCUCACCCCUGCCACCAUGUCCUGCACAGUGAGGUGAUUUCUAUGGCCAUCUGGGUUUGCAGUAGGACAUCACUGAGGACAUCAUUGUCUGGGUGAGCCAAGCCCCAAGGUCUUGGGGUGGCUGUCAGGGUUCUGGCUUGCCCUAACGAGGCUUGGCUGUGCUAAUGAAGCAAUGACCUCCACAUGGUGUGAAGGCACAGCUGUGCUUUGUUUGGAAGUCAGGGCAGGGCCAGCCCAAAAGCCUCUUAAACCACUACCCACCCUUCCCAACUACUGCAGUGCAAGCAGUUUAGGGGCUGCUGCUGGGGAGUGCUAUUCCUUGAGGGGCUCACAGUGUUUUCCUGCCUAUGGCAGGAGGUUGCUUGGCUCCCACACAGCUUUUCCUGGGGCUGGUGCAGGGCUACUGCUGGGCUCUCAGCUGCUUCUUGGAGCCAGAUUCACCCCUCCCUGGGCUCAUUUAAGGGCUAGCCUCUGAAGGGAGAACAUCUUUUGGAUGAAGGCUGAUUCCUGAGAAGGACUGUUCUAUAGCCAGAGACCAUCAUUACCUCUCCGAGUGAGUGCUGCAGUGUGGCCUCUUGUAGUGAGGGUCAGUUCAGCCUGUGAGUAGUUCUAGUAGUGAUGGGACUGUGAAGGUCCAGAGCUGGUGUGAGGAUCCUGGUGGUAUGAAACUGUUGAUGCUUGAAUAGAGCGAGUUCUGAAGAUGUGUGCUUGCUGCUGUCCUGGAGCAUGGGGCUCUUGCUGUGAGAGGUCUUUGUGCAGCUCUUUAAUGUGAAGAGGAGAGCCAGCUGUGCCCUGACUUAAUGGACUUGUGGAGAUGGAUUCUGCUGGAGGAUGUGGAGUGCUGCCCUUAUAGUGGCAGAAGAAGCUGAGCUGACUCAAGAAGUGGAUGUUUAUUCUUCUGCCCUUCUCUGCACAAUGGCACCUUGCAGAUUAUUUCUGGUUGGAUAACAGUGAGGAUCCUCAUGAAGACUGGUUUAAUGAAGCAGCCUCUGCUCUCCCACAGGACACACAGAGGAUUCGUAAACCAUUUAAAGGAAAUACUGCAGCAGCAAAUCCUAAAAGGAAAACAUAGCUGGCUGUUUGAAGGGCUUCUUGAAGUUUCCUGCAUGAUGGUAUCAGGGAGCUCAUCUAUCCCCUGGAGGAACCGUUUCUUGCGCUACCACAGUCAUACAGCCUUCCUAUGAGUACCAGAUGAAAUGGCAGUAAAUAAACUAUAGAAAUGUAAAAAUACAGGGCUUUUUCAAACUAGCAUCCCCUCAAGAUCAGGGAGGAGAAAAAUCGCCACAGAGGGAUCGUUGUCUAUUGUACCUUACCCUUACAAAAAAAUUAUUGGAAAAACACAGAUGUUCAAGAGAUGGUUGAGAGGAAAAAAAACUGGUCCCAAAGACUGCUUUCUGUGGCUUGACAUUCCUAGUACUUUGUGGUCAAACUUCUCACCAGCGUCCCCAAGUUUUCUAAAACUGUAGAGUGACCCAACACCUCCUGAUUAUUGCACAUACGGUGCACAGUCUCAGGAUUAUUUUACUCAGCAGGUGCAUUAAUUUCCCUUCUUUUCCCAUCUACAGAUAAAGGUACUCCCUUCUUCCCAAGUGAGGAAUGCUGAUUACCUUCCACAUUUCAAUCACGAGUUUGUAAAAGGCAAUUCAUGCUGUGAACAGUGCCUUGCAAAUGGCAUUCUCCAUUUCUGUACAGACUCUUUGGUUCUGUUGUAAUAGAAGUAGGAGAAGGAGACACUGAGAAAUACCAUCAAUACUCAAGUGAUUGAAUUUAUAGGAAAAUGGUGAUUUUUUUUAAACAAAAAGUAAAUAUUUACUAUGUUUUUGCUAUAUUCUAUAUAUGCAUUACUAUAUUGUUUACUACAUAAUCUUCUUUAUCAUUUUACCACAGUACUCACAGCAAAGAAGGAACUGAGACUUCAUUAAUUUUAAAACCUCUUACUGUAUUUUUAAUGAAGAUAAACCAGAUGACUCAAAGUGCUGGUUAAUUUUCAACAUAAAGGUUAGAGCAGUACAAGCAACGUGCAAUUAUAAGAGGAGAUUCAAUUUAUCUAUAGGAGAAUACAGUGUUUUAUUUAAGAGAGUGGUAUUUCAUCCAGAUUUUUUCACGUCAGUAACUCUUCAGAACUGGUUUGGGUGUUAACCCAGGACAAGCAGUAGUCAUUACGAUACUGUGGAAUCCAUGUUUACUACUUUAUUUUAAAAAAAAGCUUGUUUUUGCAUCCACGGUGAUGAAUAUACUUUCCAUAUUUAUCAGUAAAAGUGCAGUUUUAAAAUGCAUAUUUAUCCAGUUAUCUAUUUUCCUCACAUCAUACCUAUCCAGACUGUGAGAGCAACCUUUGGGAGUCUUGGUGUCUGUUUUCAGCAUCAGCUAUAGAGACAUUCAGAGCAGCACAAUGGUGGAAGGUGCACAAAUGAGUGCCUAUAACGUACUGUUCUUUCUAAACAUUUUUCUGGUAAUUACAUGCCUGUUCUAAAAUACUGGAAAAGUACUAUGCUGACUAACAAGACUUGCUGUUACAAGGCUGUAUGAACUUAUUACUUUGAAAAACCUGUUCAAACACAUUUUAUAUUUGCUGUCCACUUUAAGAGUGUGAAUUGUACCUUAGAUCACAUAGAAGUGGAUCAGAUGGUCAAGAUACGUUGUUUUGUCCUUUUGUCCCACAGCUACAGGAGAAAACAUGUUUUUGUCAAAGAAACCAUGCUGCCUGAGGUCAGGGUCAGAGAAAUGUAUCCAGGAAUCUUUACCUGAACCCAAGAUUACCAAACUUACUAUUCACUAGGAGGCACUGUAAAUUAUUUACAUUAAUAUGUGUCACAAAUCUGCCAAAUCCUUACUAACCUCUAUUUACAUGCAUUAUAAAAUCUUUCCAAUGUCUUACGGAAAAAAUUACUUUUCCUGUUAGAAACAUAUUUGUAACAUGGAAAUGUUUUGUGAAUCAUAUUUGCCAGCUACACUAAAGACCACCAAUUGUAUUACUCUCACGACAAAUAUUAUGCCUUUCGGUGCUGGUAUACUAACAAAACUAAUACAAGAAUAAAUUACUCUAACUAGAGAAAAAAAAAUGAAAAUUUGCAGAUUGGAUUGAAGCUCUUUUUCUUUGAAAUGUACAAUAAGAUGCCUGUCAUUCCAUUGCUAAUAAAAACAAAACACCAAUUUCACCAA